CAGAAAAGCAGCUUCCUGUCAUGGGCUGUGUCAUAUCAAUUAAAAUCAAAUUAAAUUUCAUGAAAACGACUCGUCAAAGAAAAAUAAAUCCUUUCCCCUAAUGAUUUUCGGUUGUCAGGGCUAGCGAGACCCAGACAGCAGACAGCAUGGUCCCAGCAUGCUUUCUGCCUUUUUUUUGUUUGCACACUAGCUGUCAGUUCUAGCCCUGCAGGUAGUAGAACCCAGCAGGAAGGAGGGGCGGGACACAACGAUGCAGCUUGAAUUGACAGCAAAUUUAAAUUACUGAGCCUUUAAAAAAAAAUUUUUCUACUCUGCGACAAACUGAAAAGAUUCCAGCACGCUAAUUUAACAAUCCGGCUUUUUCUUUUCCUUCUUCUUCUUCUUCUUUUCUUUCUUCUUCUUUUUCUUCUUUUUUCUUCUUCGUCGUCUUCUUCUUCUUCUCCUUUUUUUUUGUCUCCCUGCUUCCAGGAUAAUUAAAAGAGAAACCUGUAAAGGCAACGUUCCUGCAAGCAAGUUGGUGCUGUAACGUGCUGCUCUUUUUACCGGGACUUUCUCCAAGAAGUGGAAGCAGAUCUCAAUUGUAUGGAGAAAGGCUAACAAAAUGAAGAUAUUUCCUUGCAGAUGUGUGGAUAAUAAAAAGAAAAAAUAUAUUUUUUC